GGGGGAGGGAGAAUGCAGUUUCAUCAGAUUCAGCACAUGAACAUUGCUUUAAAAACAAACUGUAAUACCUCUCGUGUGUGCCACUGUCUGUAAUGAUUUGGCAUCUGCCUUCACAUGGAACUGGAGUCUGUAAUGAUCUUGCAUCUGCCUUUACAUGGAACCGGAGUCUGUAAUGAUCUUGCAUCUGCCUUCACAUGGAACCAGAGUCUGUAAUGAUCUGGCAUCUGCCUUCACUUGGAAUCUGAUCUGGCAUCUGCCUUCACAGUGUCUCUCACACACUCCUGCCAUUGUCUUUUUUCUGCGUGUAUCCAGCGUAUGUAGCUGGGAGUUUUUUAACUUGUUUUCUAAAUAAAGGACAUAUUUUUUAUUACAUGGAAA